rnacentral:rRNA from 1 species
UACGUAGGGUGCAAGCGUUGUCCGGAAUUAUUGGGCGUAAAGAGUUCGUAGGCGGUUUGUUGCGUCUGCUGUGAAAUCUCAGGGCUUAACCCUGAGCCUGCAGUGGGUACGGGCAGACUAGAGUGUGGUAGGGGAGAUCGGAAUUCCUGGUGUAGCGGUGGAAUGCGCAGAUAUCAGGAGGAACACCGGUGGCGAAGGCGGAUCUCUGGGCCAUAACUGACGCUGAGGAGCGAAAGCAUGGGGAGCGAACAGG